CCUCUAAUAUUGAGAGGGGAGUCAUUAGCAUUAAAAGGAAUAGGCGAUCAUGGGCCGUGGAGGAACCUUACUCUAAUCUAAAGGGGAAGGAAUUUCUCUCAUUAUAGCCCCCCGUCUGAGAUAGAUAAUGGCAGCCGGAUAGGGAACCAUUCCUUCAUGCGCACUACCCGACUAACUUCUUUCUGAUUCCAAACCCCCCCCCACUAACUUAUAGGCUUAUCAAUUUUGAAAAGAAGGAAAGUGUUACCUCUCAAAUCCCCUCUGAUGUGUUAGAAUAAUUUGCUUAGUUCUAUCUCUCUAAGAAGAAGGAUAGUCCUAAGGAACCAGAUUCUCAUUCUCACCACUCAUCGUCCAUCAUCUUCGUGGGUGAUUGACUCUGGAGCCUCCCAUCACAUG
rnacentral:lncRNA from 1 species